rnacentral:rRNA from 1 species
UACGGGGGGGGCAAGCGUUGUUCGGAAUUACUGGGCGUAAAGGGCUCGUAGGCGGCCAACUAAGUCCGACGUGAAAUCCCCAGGCUUAACCUGGGAACUGCGUCGGAUACUGGAUGGCUUGAAUUCGGGAGAGGGAUGCAGAAUUCCAGGUGUAGCGGUGAAAUGCGUAGAUAUCUGGAGGAACACCGGUGGCGAAGGCGGCAUCCUGGACCGGCAUUGACGCUGAGGCGCGAAAGCCAGGGGAGCAAACGGG